GAUGAAGAACGCAGCGAAAUGCGAUAAGUAAUGUGAAUUGCAGAAUUCAGUGAAUCAUCGAAUCUUUGAACGCACAUUGCGCCCGCCAGUAUUCUGGCGGGCAUGCCUGUUCGAGCGUCAUUACCACCCUCAGGCCCCCGGGCCUGGCGUUGGGGAUCGGCGGAGCCCCCCGUGGGCACACGCCGUCCCCCAAAUGCAGUGGCGGUCCCGCCGCAGCUUCCAUCGCGUAGUAGCUAACACCUCGCGACUGGAGAGCGGCGCGGCCACGCCGUAAAACACCCAACUCUUCUGAAGUUGACCUCGAAUCAGGUAGGAAUACCCGCUGAACUUAAGCAUAUCAAUAAGCGGAGGA
rnacentral:misc_RNA from 1 species